rnacentral:rRNA from 1 species
CAGUCGCCGCGGUAAUACGAAGGGUGCAAGCGUUAAUCGGAAUUACUGGGCGUAAAGCGUGCGCAGGCGGUUGUGUAAGACAGGUGUGAAAUCCCCGGGCUUAACCUGGGAACUGCGCUUGUGACUGCACAGCUAGAGUAUGGCAGAGGGGGGUGGAAUUCCACGUGUAGCAGUGAAAUGCGUAGAGAUGUGGAGGAACACCGAGGGCGAAGGCAGCCCCCUGGGCCAAUACUGACGCUCAUGCACGAAAGCGUGGGGAGCAAACAGGAUUAGAUACCCCCGUAGUCCCUGUCUCUUAUAC